GAUGAACGCUGGCGGCGUGCCUAAUACAUGCAAGUCGAGCGAACAGACGAGGAGCUUGCUCCUCUGACGUUAGCGGCGGACGGGUGAGUAACACGUGGAUAACCUACCUAUAAGACUGGGAUAACUUCGGGAAACCGGAGCUAAUACCGGAUAAUAUAUUGAACCGCAUGGUUCAAUAGUGAAAGACGGUUUUGCUGUCACUUAUAGAUGGAUCCGCGCCGCAUUAGCUAGUUGGUAAGGUAACGGCUUACCAAGGCAACGAUGCGUAGCCGACCUGAGAGGGUGAUCGGCCACACUGGAACUGAGACACGGUCCAGACUCCUACGGGAGGCAGCAGUAGGGAAUCGGCCGCAAUGGGCGAAAGCCUGACGGAGCAACGCCGCGUGAGUGAUGAAGGUCUUCGGAUCGUAAAACUCGGUUAUUAGGGAAGAACAAAUGUGUAAGUAACUAUGCACGUCUUGACGGUACCUAAUCAGAAAGCCACGGCUAACUACGUG
rnacentral:rRNA from 1 species